rnacentral:rRNA from 1 species
AACGUAGGUGGCGAGCGUUAUCCGGAUUUACUGGGCGUAAAGGGUGCGUAGGCGGUCGGGUAAGUCUGAUGUGAAAUCUCACAGCUUAACUGUGAAACUGCAUUGGAUACUAUUCGGCUUGAGAGUUGGAGGGGGGACUGGAAUUCUUGGUGUAGCAGUGAAAUGCGUAGAUAUCAAGAGGAACACCAGUGGCGAAGGCGAGUCCCUGGACAACUUCUGACGCUGAGGCACGAAAGCUAGGGGAGCAAACAGG